GACAGAUGCAUCACUGGAUCCUAACUAAACACUUUGUUCCAUCUCCCUGUGACCAGAGUAUUGUACCACAAUCCCAGUUGUUUGCAAUAAAUGGCUUGUCUUGAUUUUCCAGAUUAUAGCUAGAAGAUUGCCUCAAACGAUGAAUUGUAGAAUGGAGCAGGAUGUCUGUGUGUCUGCGUCUUCACCCGGGUUUUUCAGGCCACUGUGUCUGUGAACUUAGCUCUAUGAAAGCAAGAAGCCUAUGAGAAUUCCGCCAGGGGCAAGCCUGGCCUUGGCGCUUCACUGUCUUAGCGUGUGUCUGGCCCUCCCAUUCCUGGCCAAGGCCCACAGCCACCACAGAUGACCUGCUGAUGCCUCUGCUGAAAUCCGUGGCCACUGGCCAACAGCUUGACAAGAGUGUCAGCUCCCUCCCGAGACGAAAUCAGAGGAAAACGCCUCUAGUUUCUAAGAAGCACACAGGGAGCCACUUCUUUACCGCUAGCUCCUGCAGGAUCUGUGGGAUCCUGCAGGUGCUGGUUUGCCUCCUGAGCCCUGUCCUAAGGACACUCUGCACAUCGCCUCCUGAUGGGCUUUCACAUUCAAGAGACACUGGAGCUGCCAUAACCUUGAGUGGACAUGAGCUUGGCCAGAUUGCACUGUCCAAAUGCCAGGACCCAGGGCCCCGGGGAGGUCUCUGGUGCAUGCGGCAGUGCUCUUGGAGGAUCUUGAUCACUCCAGCGCAUUCCUUGCAGCAAUCUGCACUUGGAACAGCGUUUGAUAUGGAAGGAAACACUAGUAUAAUAUCAAGUUGUGUAUAAUUGCAAAACUUGCUGUCUCGGAUGUGAAAUAAAUUCGGCUAAUUUGUUGGUAGGAGCUAUCAUAGUAUUUUUUUGGUAUCAAUGUCACUGGAGACUAUAUCCCUGAAUAAGUGCCAGGCACUGGCUCUGAACUAACUAAAUGCUUUGCAUGUGUUAUUUCAUUAAAUCCUCACAAUAAUC
ensembl:lncRNA novel transcript